GCCUUCGUGGUGUAGUGGUCAGCACUCUCGGCGCGUAUUCGAGAGGUCCGUGGUUCGAGUCCCGGCGAGGACA
rnacentral:tRNA from 1 species